UACGUAGGGUGCGAGCGUUAAUCGGAAUUACUGGGCGUAAAGCGUGCGCAGGCGGUUUGAUAAGACAGGCGUGAAAUCCCCGAGCUCAACUUGGGAAUGGCGCUUGUGACUGUCAGGCUAGAGUAUGUCAGAGGGGGGUAGAAUUCCACGUGUAGCAGUGAAAUGCGUAGAGAUGUGGAGGAAUACCGAUGGCGAAGGCAGCCCCCUGGGACGUCACUGACGCUCAUGCACGAAAGCGUGGGGAGCAAACAGGAUUAGAUACCCUGGUAGUCCACGCCCUAAACGAUGUCAACUAGUUGUUGGGGAUUCAUUUCUUCAGUAACGUAGCUAACGCGUGAAGUUGACCGCCUGGGGAGUACGGUCGCAAGAUUAAA
rnacentral:rRNA from 1 species